rnacentral:rRNA from 1 species
AACGAACGCUGGCGGCGUGGAUAAGACAUGCAAGUCGAACGGGACUAAAUCUGUAGCAAUACAGGUUUAGUUUAGUGGCGAACGGGUGCGUAACACGUGGGCAAUCUGCCGAGAAGUGGGGGAGUAGCUCGCCGAAAGGCGAAUUAAUACCGCAUAUGAUCAGUGAAGACAUCUUCACGACAUCAAAGCCGGGCAACCUGGCGCUUCUUGAUGAGCCCGCCGGCCUAUCAGCUAGUUGGUGAGGUAACGGCUCACCAAGGCUAUGACGGGUAGCUGGUCUGAGAGGACGACCAGUCACACUGGAACUGAGACACGGUCCAGACACCUACGGGUGGCAGCAGUCGAGUAAUUUUUCUCAAUGGGGCAACCCUGAAGGAGCGACG